GGGAGGAGAUGCUGGGAGACAGCGUUGAGGCAGACGCUAGAGGCAACGGGAAGGGGCUAGACACUCAGGAUCUCUAGAGGAAGGGGAGACCGUCCCCCUGGAAGGAUGUGACAAGCAUAGAAUCCGGAACAGGAUGAGGAAGUGGUAGACGGAGACCACAAGGAAGAUCGACAGGCAUACUGUGAGGAACGGCGAGGUCAGGACGGAGAGAUGUGUGGAGACAAGGCAGCGGAGUGUCGGGUGCCGAGCUGAAAAAGGGCAGCAGAAUCAGGAUGGUUCAAAGAAUGAAGAAGGUGAUUAGCAUAACAAAACCCUCUACAACUAGGUCUAGUCUUUUUCCCUCCUAUUCCUCUGGGUAUCGGCAUUCAUGACGUUGGGCCCUCCCUCUGGACACCUACAUUAACUGGACAAGUGUUCACCUCUCCCUCACGUGUCUUAGCCUAGCUGAUCACACUGACAGGACAGGACAGCAUGCUCUAAAGGCCUUUUCUUACUAACAUAAUGAGCCAUUUCUUCUGGGUGGUUAAAUAUCUAGCUAGAGGACCUCACCCCAGCCUCAUUAGCAGUUGUUGGGGACCAAUGACAAAGCCACCCCUGAAUGGGGUUCCUAGGAAGGCCUUGCAAAGAGAGCUGGCUGCUCAGUUUAGAGUUGAGACCUUUUUUUUUGUGUUUCCUCCCUUCUAGGAAAGCCAAGGGCAUGGGAGCUGGGGCACUGGUAGCCAUCUUGGAGCCACAGGCUAAGGAUGACAGAGCAGGAGAGGACCCCUCAUCUUGGAUGAUGCUGGAGGUGCUACACCAGUGCUGAGGACCUGCUCUGUCAAGUUUGGUUCCCAAUACCCACCCCGGGAGAUUCACAGCUGCCUGCAACUCCAGGAGGAUCUCAUGCCUCUGGUCUUUCCAGAUACCCGCCAUCCCACGCAUAUACCCCACACAUAAAGAAUUAAAAAUAAGUCUUAAAGAGAAGCAAAAUCCUCUGGGGAGUUGCAUUGUUCGAAACCUUUGCUGCCUCUCCCCGCACGAAGGGCAUUCAUCCCUACCCCACCAAUGAGCUGUUUACUACAUGCGACUGCUGUGCCUGAAGAACAUGAGGCAGGUCCUUUGGAAGAGCAGAGAAUGCUCUUAACCGCCGAGCCACAGGCAUCAACCUUUGCCUCCCCUCGUAAGACCAAAUGCUCCAAGUAGGGACAGCUCCUCCAAGCUGGGUCCCCAACUAAAAUACUGUAGAGCUGAGAUACGAACACCUACACGGGACAUAGCCAUAGCGUUAGCAAGACCUGUACCUGGGCUGUAGUAAGCCAGAGCUUGGGGCAUUUUUGACUACAGUAUAACUUCAUGUUGUUAGUCCACGGACGUUGUAACUUGCUUAAGCCAUUAGUUCAGGACUCUGUGACUGUUAAGAAGGUGUAAUUCCAUGGGCUGGAGAGAUGGCUCAGCGGUUAAGAGCACCCGACUGCUCUUCCAGAGGUCCUGAGUUCAAUUCCCAGCAACCACAUGGUGGCUCACAACCAUCUGUAAGGAGACCCGAUGCCCUCUUCUGGUGUGUCUGAAGACAGCUACAGUGUACUUAUAUAUAAUAAAUGAAUAAAUAAAUCUUUUUUUUUAAAAAAAAAA